GAAUCGCUUUGGCGGUACGUACACUCUAAUUAAAACGAUAUAGGGAAGAGCAGCAUGGCCCCUGCGCAAGGGUGAAAAAAAAAGUUGUUAGAGUUCAAGCUUCGUA